rnacentral:ncRNA from 2 species
UAUGAUAGAGGUGCAGGUUUCAAGAGUACCCUUUUGCAAGGCAGGGCAGCCGCAGGAGGGGAAAGGGGAAGCUGCCGAAGUGGGAAAAUCUGCCCGAGAUUUUCCUGCUGGGACAUGGUAUAAGAUAUCAUGUACUGUCACGACAAGUGGAGCGCUAUC